AGCGAACGCUGGCGGCAGGCUUAACACAUGCAAGUCGAGCGGGCGUAGCAAUACGUCAGCGGCAGACGGGUGAGUAACGCGUGGGAACGUACCUUUUGGUUCGGAACAACCCAGGGAAACUUGGGCUAAUGCCGGAUAAGCCCUUACGGGGAAAGAUUUAUCGCCAAAAGAUCGGCCCGCGUCUGAUUAGCUAGUUGGUGAGGUAACGGCUCACCAAGGCGACGAUCAGUAGCUGGUCUGAGAGGACGAUCAGCCACACUGGGACUGAGACACGGCCCAGACUCCUACGGGAGGCAGCAGUGGGGAAUCUUGCACAAUGGGCGAAAGCCUGAUGCAGCGACGCCGCGUGAGGGAAGAAGGCUUU
rnacentral:rRNA from 1 species